rnacentral:rRNA from 1 species
GGGGGGGGGGGGGGGGGGGGCGGGGGCGGGGGGGGCGGGCGGGGGCGCGGGGGGAGCUGGCUCUGGCGGGGGGCGAGCGGCGGACGGGUGAGGAAUACAUCGGGAUCUACUUUUUCGGGGGGGAUAACGGAGGGAAGCUGACGCUAAUACCGCAUACGACCUACGGGUGAAAGCAGGGGAUCUUCGGACCUUGCGCGAUUGAAUGAGCCGAUGUCGGAUUAGCUAGUUGGCGGGGUAAAGGCCCACCAAGGCGACGAUCCGUAGCUGGUCUGAGAGGAUGAUCAGCCACACUGGAACUGAGACACGGUCCAGACUCCUACGGGAGGCAGCAGUGGGGAAUAUUGGACAAUGGGCGCAAGCCUGAUCCAGCCAUACCGCGUGGGUGAAGAAGGCCUUCGGGUUGUAAAGCCCUUUUGUUGGGAAAGAAAAGCAGCAGGUUAAUACCCCGCUGUUCUGACGGUACCCAAAGAAUAAGCACCGGCUAACUUCGUG